rnacentral:rRNA from 1 species
CCUUGAAAAAGGGAGUUCAAGAAGAGCUUCGAAGAAGCUUUCUUGGUGGAGGGGAGUGGCAGACGGGUGAGUAACGCGUGGGAACAUACCCUUAUCUUCGGAACAACUCCGGGAAACUGGAGCUAAUAUCGACUGUGCCCUUAGCGGGAAAGAUUUAUCGGAUAAGGAUUGGACCGCGUUGGAUUAGCUAGUUGGUGGGGUAAAGGCCUACCAAGGCGACGAUCCAUAGCUGGUCUGAGAGGAUGAUCAGCCACAUUGGGACUGAGACACGGCCCAAACUCCUACGGGAGGCAGCAGUGGGGAAUAUUGGACAAUGGGCGCAAGCCUGAUCCAGCCACGCCGCGUGAGUGAUGAAGGCCUUAGGGUUGUAAAGCUCUUUCACCGGAGAAGAUAAUGACGGUAUCCGGAGAAGAAGCCCCGGCUAACUUCGUGCCAGCCGCCGCUGUAAAAC